rnacentral:rRNA from 1 species
UACAUGGGGUGCAAACGUUGCUCGGAAUCAUUGGGCGUAAAGCGCGCGUAGGCGGUUACUUAAGUCGAAUGUGAAAGCCCUCGGCUUAACUGAGGAAGUGCAUCCGAAACUGAGUAGCUAGAGUACGAAAGAGGGUCGCGGAAUUCCCGGUGUAGAGGUGAAAUUCGUAGAUAUCGGGAGGAACACCGGUGGCGAAGGCGGCGACCUGGGUAGAUACUGACGCUGAGGUGCGAAAGCGUGGGGAGCAAACAGG